UACGUAGGGUGCGAGCGUUGCCCGGAUUUAUUGGGCGUAAAGGGCGCGUAGGCGGCCACGCACGUCCGUUGUGAAAUCGCCCGGCUCAACUGGGCGGGGUCAGCGGAUACGGUGUGGCUAGAGCAAGCUAGGGGGCAAUGGAAUUCCCGGUGUAGUGGUGGAAUGCGUAGAUAUCGGGAGGAGCACCAGUGGCGAAGGCGGUUGCCUGGAGCUUUGCUGACGCUGAUGCGCGAAAGCGUGGGGAGCGAUCCGG
rnacentral:rRNA from 1 species